UGUAGCUGUGUUUAGCUGAACAAGGCUUACUUCCUCCCUCUUGUCAGUCCGUGCGCUGUUUCUACAUGAUCCUUCCUUCGGAGGUUGAUUGGGGGCCCCCCUACUAAGACUACUGGUAAGAGGCCCCAAGCAGCCGCCUUAGACCGCCUCUGAUGAUGCAUCAUAAAACUGACAACUCCAGCAUCCUCUGCGCUCGGGCGAAGUGGUCCAUCUUCUCGAAGGCGCGCACCUUCCCCAGGAAGGACGUGAGCGCCGGGUCCUCGG